rnacentral:rRNA from 1 species
AGCGAUGAAGUUUCUUCGGAAAUGGAUUAGCGGCGAACGGGUGAGGAACACGUGAAGAAUCUGCCUCCACUUUGGAUAACACGGAAACCGGUGCUAAUACUGAAUAUUGAAACAUAAGUGGCAUCACUGAGUUUGAAAGAAUUUCGGUGGAGGAUGACUUCGCGGCCUAUCAGCUUGUUGGUGAGGUAAUGGCUCACCAAGGCGACGACGGGUAGCCGGCCUGAGAGGGCGACCGGCCACACUGGGACUGAGACACGGACCAGACUCC